AGCGAACGCUGGCGGCAGGCCUAACACAUGCAGGUCGAACGAAGUCUUCGGACUUAGUGGCGGACGGGUGAAUAACACGUGGGAACGUGCCUUUAGGUUCGGAAUAACUCAGGGAAACUUGUGCUAAUACCGGAUGAGGCUUUCGGGGGAAAGCUUUAUCGCCGUUAGAGCGGCCCGCGUCUGAUUAGCUGGUUGGUGAGGUAAAGGCUCACCAAGGCGACGAUCAGUAGCUGGUCUGAGAGGAUGACCAGCCACAUUGGGACUGAGACACGGCACAAACUCCUACGGGAGGCAGCAGUGGGGAGUCUUGCGCAAUGGGCGAAAGCCUGACGCAGCCAUGCCGCGUGAAUGAUGAAGGUCUUAGGAUUGUAAAAUUCUUUCACCGGGGACGAUAAUGACGGUACCCGGAGAAGAAGCCCCGGCUAACUUCGUGCCAGCAGCCGCCGUAAGAC
rnacentral:rRNA from 1 species